GACGAACGCUGGCGGCGUGCUUAGCACAUGCCAGUCGAACGGAAAGGCCCUGCUUUUGUGGGGUGCUCGAGUGGCGAACGGGUGAGUAACACGUGAGUAACCUGCCCUUGACUUUGGGAUAACUUCAGGAAACUGGGGCUAAUACCGGAUAGGAGCUCCUGCUGCAUGGUGGGGGUUGGAAAGUUUCGGCGGCUGGGGAUGGACUCGCGGCUUAUCAGCUUGUUGGUGGGGUAGUGGCUUACCAAGGCUUUGACGGGUAGCCGGCCUGAGAGGGUGACCGGCCACAUUGGGACUGAGAUACGGCCCAGACUCCUACGGGAGGCAGCAGUGGGGAAUAUUGCACAAUGGGCGGAAGCCUGAUGCAGCAACGCCGCGUGCGGGAUGACGGCCUUCGGGUUGUAAACCGCUUUCGCCUGUGACGAGGCGUGAGUGACGGUAAUGGGUAAAGAAGCACCGGCUAACUACGUG
rnacentral:rRNA from 1 species